UACGUAGGGGGCAAGCGUUGUCCGGAAUCAUUGGGCGUAAAGAGCGUGUAGGCGGCCCGGUAGGUCUGGUGUGAAAACUCGAGGCUUAACCUCGAGAUGUCAUCGGAAACCAUCUGGCUAGAGUCCGGAAGAGGAGAGUGGAAUUCCUGGUGUAGCGGUGAAAUGCGCAGAUAUCAGGAAGAACACCAAUGGCGAAAGCAGCUCUCUGGGACGGUACUGACGCUGAGACGCGAAAGCGUGGGGAGCGAACAGG
rnacentral:rRNA from 1 species